UCCUUGGGUUAGAAAAAUGGCCACAGGUGUUCCCUCUGGGAGCUGGAGAGGUGAUUUGAGCCAGGUGCGGGGAAUUUAAUUAAUUAAAUAGUUUGCUGUGUUUGGAGCUGGGGCUUGAGUGCAGCAGUUUGCUGGAGAGAAGUCCUCAAGUGUUUGCUGUUGACUGCUCUGCAAAUACUUUGCCAAGCUGGGCGAUCCAUUUGCCAUCACUCCCGUUCUGCAUGACUCCAUCUAUUGACUUCGGCUGCAGGAUGGAUUGUCUUCAUCUUUCAUAGGUUGUCAGGCCGGAAGAGACCUGGGAAGAUCAUUGGGUCCAGCCCCCUGAGCCAAGCAGGAAAGACAGCCGGGGUCAGGUGGCCCGAGCAAGGUGAUGUAAAUGAGCUUUCGAGUCAAUAAGUCAGGCCCGAGACUAUUCUGUGGAAUCAAGUCACCUGAGGGGAAGGACCUCAUGUGAUAUCACAAAAGUGACCUCAACUGGGAGCACUGAGUGGCACGUUCACAAUGUUAGACUCUUCAGGCAUUUUCUCUAACGUCCCUUUGGACACCAGAGGAAUUUCGGUCAGCAGAACAUGAUGGCUUUAGAUGGACCCUUGCCUUUAAAACUCUUACACCACCAAAAAGCAGCACUGUAAGCUUCUUCAUGAAUGCAAGUGGCCAGAGCCUGGUCUCGCAUCCUGUCCCAGAGCUGCGGUCGCUCCAGCAGCUCCCUGAUUUUUUACAGACUCGGAAGGAACAGCAUCGCAUUGACUCAUCCGUGCCACUUCCCCAACCCACCUCUGAACUGCACGGCAGUUUCUCAUCCCAGCCUUGGACCUGCCUGGGUCUGUUUUUCCCAUGAGGAACACAACUCAUAACUAAGUCUUCAGACUUUGCAUUCAGAUCUGGUUCCUUUUUUCGCCCCCUGAUGUAAGAUGAAGCUAACACAGAUCUCUGUUUAAGGGGGAAAAUUCAUGAAUUAACAUUUGUUUAAUUCAUUCAUGUUUGCAACAGCACUUGGAAGAUUUAAAAUGCAGUACUGGUACUCCCUGUUACUAUUUAUGCUUAGGGUCCGUUCCUUCCCCACAGAGGCCUCUGGUUGGAGUCAUGCCAUAAAGCAAACAUAUUUACCUUUCAUGAAGCGGUGCGAGCUGCCAGGCGUGCUGCACGCAACACAUGGAUGUGGGAAGAGAAGGAGGCACGCUGGCACUAGCAGACCCGAAGCCUGGCUGGUGUUUCUGAACGUGGCCCUCAUUGGCAAGGUCUCCUGUACCAGUCACGUGUCAUCUGAAGAGCUAUGUUCCCCAUUGCCUCCAUGGUUAAAGUGUUACAUAGGUGUCCUGGUUUUGAGGAGUAAAAAAUUCUUUUGACAUUUCCACUGUCUCUCAUCCCUGACUCGUCUCCUCUGUUGAUCAAAUUCAAGGAAAGGGGCUUUGUCCUGUACUCCAAAUACAGUCUUCUGUGAUAGCUGAAAAUUAUGUCUGUGCAAUAAAGGUGCCUGCUGAAGGCUCUGUGAAGAUUA